rnacentral:rRNA from 1 species
AGUCGAGCGGAUGAAGGGAGCUUGCUCCUGAAUUCAGCGGCGGACGGGUGAGUAAAGCCUAGGAAUCUGCCUGGUAGUGGGGGACAACGUUUCGAAAGGAACGCUAAUACCGCAUACGUCCUACGGGAGAAAGCAGGGGACCUUCGGGCCUUGCGCUAUCAGAUGAGCCUAGGUUCCCUUUAGCUAGUUGGUGAGGUAAUGGCUCACCAAGGCGACGAUCCGUAACUGGUCUGAGAGGAUGAUCAGUCACACUGGAACUGAGACACGGUCCAGACUCCUACGGGAGGCAGCAGUGGGGAAUAUUGGACAAUGGGCGAAAGCCUGAUCCAGCCAUGCCGCGUGUGUGAAGAAGGUCUUCGGAUUGUAAAGCACUUUAAGUUGGGAGGAAGGGUUGUAGAUUAAUACUCUGCAAUUUUGACGUUACCGACAGAAUAAGCACCGGCUAACUCUGUGC